UUAUUUUUAGCCAGGUUCUAAAACUGUUUUGUGCUGAAUACACACACACACAAGGGGUCAUGAUGAAGACAGUCUGCUGUAGAAGUCUGUCUUUUUAAUUAUUCUGCAUCCACUGACAUAUAUACACAAGUCCCACUGUAGCAACACUUUAUAAUGACUUUAGUAAUACUCAAUAUACUUUUUUUUUUUUUUUUUUAAUAUAGUUUGAUCAUGUUGGAAAGCACCAGUCUGGGAAAAUGCAAGAAGAUGCAUUUGCUAGUACAGGAUAUGUGCUAGCCCGAGAGCUGCACCCUUCCGCAGUCCAGGCAGCAGAGCGAUAUCCCAAAAUCUUCAUCAACCCUGAAAAGAAAACAAUGGGCAGGAAAUAUCCAUUUUCAGAGCAUGAUAACCGAGCCACACUGAAACAUAAUAUUGACACAUAUGGUUUGGGUCGUAAGAAGUGUGUGGGUGACCGCCAGGAGUAUAACUCUCACAUCUCCCUCUGUCACGAUGGCGGUGUGAGUGCAGUGUGCCCGAGCACCAGGGACCACUCAGCUUAUCAAAGAGACCCCCAGCCCAGGCAGGGUGCGGAGACCUCCGGCGGCCCCAACGCAAGGCGCUUUCCCAGAAGCCAUCUGCAGCGGACUCAUCGGGCUGCUACGGUCCAGGACAGAGAAGGCUACAUGUGGUUUGGGAGGCAUGAUUUAGAGCGCCACAUUCCCCUUAAUGUGCUAGCAGCCGCUAACCACUCCUGUUAAGUGAUGUAGCCCAGUCUCGGCAGACUGUAUUAAAGCAACCCUCUGUGUAAAUGAUCUUUUUCUUCUUGAUCUUUGUGUUUCUCAGUUCGACCACUUUGAUUUUAAAGCAGCC
ensembl:lncRNA